GCGAUUAGCUCAGGUGGUAGAGCACACCCCUGAUAAGGGUGCGGUCGCUGGUUCAAGUCCAGCAUCGCCCACCAAA
rnacentral:tRNA from 1 species